rnacentral:rRNA from 1 species
GGAUUAGAUACCCUGGUAGUCCACGCCGUAAACGAUGUCUACUAGCCGUUGGGGUCCUUGAGGCCUUAGUGGCGCAGCUAACGCAUUAAGUAGACCGCCUGGGGAGUACGGUCGCAAGAUUAAAACUCAAAUGAAUUGACGGGGGCCCGCACAAGCGGUGGAGCAUGUGGUUUAAUUCGAUGCAACGCGAAGAACCUUACCUACUCUUGACAUCCAGAGAACUUAGCAGAGAUGCUUUGGUGCCUUCGGGAACUCUGAGACAGGUGCUGCAUGGCUGUCGUCAGCUCGUGCCG